rnacentral:rRNA from 1 species
GAUGAACGCUGGCGGCGUGCCUAAUACAUGCAAGUCGAGCGAACAGACGAGGAGCUUGCUCCUCUGACGUUAGCGGCGGACGGGUGAGUAACACGUGGAUAACCUACCUAUAAGACUGGGAUAACUUCGGGAAACCGGAGCUAAUACCGGAUAAUAUAUUGAACCGCAUGGUUCAAUAGUGAAAGACGGUUUUGCUGUCACUUAUAGAUGGAUCCGCGCCGCAUUAGCUAGUUGGUAAGGUAACGGCUUACCAAGGCAACGAUGCGUAGCCGACCUGAGAGGGUGAUCGGCCGCACUGGAACUGAGACACGGUCCAGACUCCUACGGGAGGCAGCAGUAGGGAAUCUUCCGCAAUGGGCGAAAGCCUGACGGAGCAACGCCGCGUGAGUGAUGAAGGUCUUCGGAUCGUAAAACUCUGUUAUUAGGGAAGAACAAAUGUGUAAGUAACUAUGCACGUCUUGACGGUACCUAAUCAGAAAGCCACGGCUAACUACG